GCGGGCAUCGUAUAAUGGCUAUUACCUCAGCCUUCCAAGCUGAUGAUGCGGGUUCGAUUCCCGCUGCCCGCUCC
rnacentral:tRNA from 1 species